rnacentral:tRNA from 1 species
GCCCUGGUAGCUCAGCUUGGAUAGAGCGCUUGACUUCUAAUUUAAAUUAGAAGUUUUGAUUUAAAGAUGAUAUCAAGAGGCCGCGGGUCCGAAUCCCGUCCAGGGCA